UAGCCUUGACAUACUACAGAAUUUGACAGAGAUGUUGAAGUGCCUUCGGGAGCUGUAAUACAGGUGCUGCACGGCUGUCGUCAGCUCGUGUCGUGAGAUGUUGGGUUAAGUCCCGCAACGAGCGCAACCCUCGUCCUUAGUUGCUAGCAGUUCGGCUGAGCACUCUAAGGAGACUGCCUUCGUAAGGAGGAGGAAGGUGAGGACGACGUCAAGUCAUCAUGGCCCUUAUGGCUAGGGCUACACACGUGCUACAAUGGGGCGUACAGAGUGUUGCGAUACCGCGAGGUGGAGCUAAUCACUUAAAGCGUCUCUCAGUUCGGAUUGGAGUCUGCAACUCGACUCCAUGAAGCUGGAAUCACUAGUAAUCGUAGAUCAGCAAUGCUACGGUGAAUACGUUCCCGGGUCU
rnacentral:rRNA from 1 species